GAGGAUACAGCUCAGUGGUAGAGCAAGUGCUUAGCACGCAAGAGUCCUGGGUUCAAUCCCCAGCACCCGCA
rnacentral:tRNA from 1 species